UCCGGUUUGACACCGGCAGUCUCCUUAGAGUGCCCAACUGAAUGAUGGCAACUAAUGAUAAGGGUUGCGCUCGUUGCUGGACUUAACCAAACACCUCACGGCACGAGCUGACGACAGCCAUGCAGCACCUGUGCAGAUGCCCCGAAGGGACUCUCCAUCUCUGAAGUUGUCAUCUGCAUGUCAAGCCUGGGUAAGGUUCUUCGCGUUGCAUCGAAUUAAACCACAUGCUCCACUGCUUGUGCGGGUCCCCGUCAAUUCUUUUGAGUUUCACCCUUGCGAGCGUACUCCUCAGGCGGUAUACUUAUCGCGUUAGCUUCGGCACAAUCAGGGUUGAUUCCGAUUACACCAAGUAUACAUCGUUUACGGCAAGGACUAC
rnacentral:misc_RNA from 1 species